UUAUUUGAGAGUUUGAUCCUGGCUCAGGAUGAACGCUGGCGGCGUGCCUAACACAUGCAAGUUGAGCGAUUUACUUCGGUAAAGAGCGGCGGACGGGUGAGUAACGCGUGGGUAACCUACCCUGUACACACGGAUAACAUACCGAAAGGUAUGCUAAUACGGGAUAAUAUAUUUGAGAGGCAUCUCUUAAAUAUCAAAGGUGAGCCAGUACAGGAUGGACCCGCGUCUGAUUAGCUAGUUGGUAAGGUAACGGCUUACCAAGGCGACGAUCAGUAGCCGACCUGAGAGGGUGAUCGGCCACAUUGGAACUGAGACACG
rnacentral:rRNA from 1 species